rnacentral:rRNA from 1 species
GAUGAACGCUGGCGGCGUGCCUAAUACAUGCGAGUCGAGCGAACAGACGAGGAGCUUGCUCCUCUGACGUUAGCGGCGGACGGGUGAGUAACACGUGGAUAACCUACCUAUAAGACUGGGAUAACUUCGGGAAACCGGAGCUAAUACCGGAUAAUAUAUUGAACCGCAUGGUUCAAUAGUGAAAGACGGUUUUGCUGUCACUUAUAGAUGGAUCCGCGCCGCAUUAGCUAGUUGGUAAGGUAACGGCUUACCAAGGCGACGAUGCGUAGCCGACCUGAGAGGGUGAUCGGCCACACUGGAACUGAGACACGGUCCAGACUCCUACGGGAGGCAGCAGUAGGGAAUCUUCCGCAAUGGGCGAAAGCCUGACGGAGCAACGCCGCGUGAGUGAUGAAGGUCUUCGGAUCGUAAAACUCUGUUAUUAGGGAAGAACAAAUGUGUAAGUAACUAUGCACGUCUUGACGGUACCUAAUCAGAAAGCCACGGCUAACUACGUA